rnacentral:tRNA from 1 species
CAAGAGGUAGCUUAAACCAAAGCACCCAGCUUACACCUGGAGGACAUGUCCCAAUACAUCCCCUUGAG